GGGCCCGCACAAGCAGUGGAGCAUGUGGUUUAAUUCGAUGCAACGCGAAGAACCUUACCUGGGCUUGAAAGGCAAGAUUCUAGACGAUGAAAGUCGUUUACCCGCAAGGGGUCUUGUACAGGUGCUGCAUGGCUGUCGUCAGCUCGUGCCGUGAGGUGUUAGGUUAAGUCCUGCAACGAGCGCAACCCCUACACUUAGUUGCCAUCAGGUAAUGCUGGGCACUCUAAGUGGACUGCCUACGCAAGUAGCGAGGAAGGUGGGGAUGACGUCAAGUCCUCAUGGCCCUUACGCCCAGGGCCACACACGUGCUACAAUGGCCACUACAAAGGGUUGCCAAAGCGCAAGCUGGAGCUAAUCCCAAAAAAGUGGUCUCAGUUCAGAUUGUGGGCUGCAACUCGCCCACAUGAAGCUGGAAUUGCUAGUAAUCGCGGAUCAGCACGCCGCGGUGAAUACGUUCCCGGGCCUUGUACACACCG
rnacentral:rRNA from 1 species